rnacentral:rRNA from 1 species
GACGAACGCUGGCGGCGUGCCUAAUACAUGCAAGUCGAGCGAAUCAAUGGGAGCUUGCUCCUGUUGGUUAGCGGCGGACGGGUGAGUAACACGUGGGCAACCUGCCUGUAAGACUGGGAUAACACCGGGAAACCGGUGCUAAUACCGGAUAAUCCUUUUCCUCUCAUGAGGAAAAGCUGAAAGACGGUUUCGGCUGUCACUUACAGAUGGGCCCGCGGCGCAUUAGCUAGUUGGUGAGGGAACGGCUCACCAAGGCGACGAUGCGUAGCCGACCUGAGAGGGUGAUCGGCCACACUGGGACUGAGACACGGCCCAGACUCCUACGGGAGGCAGCAGUAGGGAAUCUUCCACAAUGGACGAAAGUCUGAUGGAGCAACGCCGCGUGAGCGAUGAAGGCCUUCGGGUCGUAAAGCUCUGUUGUUAGGGAAGAACAAGUACCGGAGUAACUGCCGGUACCUUGACGGUACCUAACCAGAAAGCCACGGCUAACUACGUGCCAGCAGCCGCCGCGG